UGGAUCGUAAACUGCUUUUGUAUGGGAAGAACUUCCCGCAUUCGUGCGGGAUUGACGGUACUAUACGAAUAAUGACCGGCUAACUCCGUACCAGCAGCCGCGGUAAUACGGAGGGUCCAAGCGUUAUCCGGAUUCACUGUGUUUAAAGGGUGCGUAGGUGGAACGAUAAGUCGAUGGUGAAAGCCUACAGCUUAACUGUAGAAUUGCCAUUGAUACUGUUGUUCUUGAGUAUAGUCGGGGGAAGUGGAAUGCGUAAUGUAGCGGUGAAAUGCAUAGAUAUUACGCAGAACACCGAUCGCGAAAGCAGCUUCCUAGGCUAUUACUGACACUGAGGCACGAAAGCGUGGGGAGCGAACAGGAUUAGAUACCCUGGUAGUCCACGCCGUAAACGAUGCUCACUCGCUGUUGGCGAUAUAUUGUCAGCAGUUAAGCUAAAGCAUUAAGUGAGCCACCUGGGAAGUACGUCCGCAAGGAUGAAACUCAAAGGAAUUGACGGGGGCCCGCACAACCGGUGGAACAUGUGGUUCAAUUCGAUGAUACGCGAGGAACCUUACCUGGGCUUAAAUGUAGUUUGACUUCCGCCGAAAGGCGGUUUUCCCUCGGGACAAAUUACAAGGUGCUGCACGGCUGUCGUCAGCUCGUGCCGUGAGGUAUCGGGUUAAGUCCCUUAACGAGCGCAACCCCUAUUGUUAGUUACCAACAGGUUAAGCUGGGGACUCUAGCAAAACUGCCAGCGUAAGCUGGAGGAAGGUGGGGAUGACGUCAAGUCAGCAUGGCCCUUAUGUCCAGGGCUACACACGUGUUACAAUGGCCGAUACAAAGGGCAGCCACCACGCGAGUGGGAGCUAAUCCUUAAAAUCGGUCUCAGUUCGGAUCGAAGUCUGCAAUUCGACUUCGUGAAGGUGGAAUCGGUAGUAAUCGCGCAUCAGCAAUGGCGCGGUGAAUACGUUCNCCGGGCCUUGUACACACUGCCCGUCAAGCCAUGGAAAUUGGUGUUGCCUGAAGUCCGUACCAUCCAGGAGCGGCCUAAGGCAAAACUGAUAA
rnacentral:rRNA from 1 species